rnacentral:misc_RNA from 1 species
GAUGAAGAACGCAGCGAAAUGCGAUAAGUAAUGUGAAUUGCAGAAUUCAGUGAAUCAUCGAAUCUUUGAACGCACAUUGCGCCCGCCAGUAUUCUGGCGGGCAUGCCUGUCCGAGCGUCAUCUCAACCCUCGAACCCCUCCGGGGGGUCGGCGUUGGGGAUCGGCCCUGCCUCUUGGCGGUGGCCGUCUCCGAAAUACAGUGGCGGUCUCGCCGCAGCCUCUCCUGCGCAGUAGUUUGCACACUCGCAUCGGGAGCGCGGCGCGUCCACAGCCGUUAAACACCCAACUUCUGAAAUGUUGACCUCGGAUCAGGUAGGAAUACCCGCUGAACUUAAGCAUAUCAAUAAGCGGAGGA